GGAACAAAGAGCAUUUCUCCAAAUGUUUCAGUAAGCAUCUGAGCCACUUUAGCUUGAAGAUCAGGCGUUAGAUGAUCUUCCAGUGUUAUUACAACAGGGUAAGGAGAAGCAGAGAAUGCAUGUUCUUUUAUUGACUUGAGACAUCUUAUUAAUUCCACAGGGGUUGUCACUGUCCUUCCAUGAAGUACAUGUACGUCAUCCUUGUCGGAGUUUGGCCAUAU
rnacentral:misc_RNA from 1 species